AGGUCUUAGAUUUAUUUAAGUCUUUAAUUCAUUUUGAUUUGAUUUUUGUUUAUGGUGAGAGGUAGGGGUCUAGUUUCAUUCUUCUGCAUAUGGAUAUCCAGUUUUCCCAGCACCAUUUAUUGAGGAGUCUGUCUUUUCCUCAGUAUAUGUUCAUGGCACCUUUGUGGAAAAUGACUUCACUGUAGGUGUGUGGAUUUUGUUUCUGGGUUCUCUGUUCUGCUUCAUUGGUCUAUGUGUCUGUUUUUAUGCUAAUAUCAUGCUGUUUUGGUUACUGU